AACGAACGCUGGCGGCGCGCCUAAUACAUGCAAGUCGAGCGAGAAGGUGUAGCAAUACACUUGUAAAGCGGCGAACGGGUGAGGAAUACAUGGGUAAUCUACCAUCGAGUGGGGAAUAACCAACCGAAAGGUUGGCUAAUACCGCGUACGCCUCCGAGUCUUCGGGUUCGGAGGGAAAGCUGCACUGUGAGUGUAGCGCUCUUUGAUGAGCUCAUGUCCUAUCAGCUUGUUGGUAGGGUAACGGCCUACCAAGGCUUUGACGGGUAGCUGGUCUGAGAGGACGAUCAGCCACACUGGCACUGCGACACGGGCCAGACUCCUACGGGAGGCAGCAGUAAGGAAUAUUGCGCAAUGGGCGAAAGCCUGAUCCAGCCAUGCCGCGUGUGUGAAGAAGGCC
rnacentral:rRNA from 1 species